CUCAAGUCUAGCUCACAGCAUAGACUGCUAAUUCGUGCUGAAUAUGUCUCUAACUCUUCUACAAAGUGCCCCAGGCAGGUAGACUGGUUGUCUGUGUUUCUAUCAGAUUUAAAUCCACAUUUCCAUAAAACCUCUAAAAGAAAAGCCCCACUGGGGUUUGAACCCAGAAUCUCCUAUUUAUUAGGCAGGUGCUUUAACCAACUAAGCCACAGAGCCUUAUAAUCCAUCCUAUUUUAUCAUGCCUUAAUCUGUGUUUUAUUUCUGUCAUUUCUUGAGGAUUUAACAAGAAGGUGAACCUGGACCACAGUCAGAACCAAAGAACACUCUGUGUGGAAUGAGAACUCUGCGGAGAAGCCCAUCUUGCUUGGUUCUGAGACCCAUCGCAUCCCCUCAGACCCACAGGAAGCCUGCCUUUCCAACUCUGUGGAAGCCUGGAGUCAUGUCCAACCCCAGUGCCUGCCCAGUUCUCACCCCAGCUCUGAGAGAUCUGGGUUUCUUUCAGAGCUUGGAAGGUGCAGGACUCUCCUAGGCUGUAGCUGCUUUCAAGGAGUUGACCCUAGCUCUGGCAAGAGACAGAACCCAGAGCUGCCCACAACAAGGACUGGAGGAGGCCAUUGCUUGUACAUGAAUUUAUCAAGCAAAGAGAAAGAUCUGGAUGUGAACCCAGCCAGUCGGAACAUUCAAAAUAAGGGCUGGGCUCCUUCAUCGACUGAUUCUGGGAAGAGUCAUCAUCAGACCCUGUUUGCUUGUCCUGUUCCAGCAGACAUGUCUCAUGUUGCCCUGCUUUCCCUCCACUACCUGGGGGACAUGUCACACACUCGGUGUUCAAUGUCGUUGUAUAAAUUCAUUACGUUCC
rnacentral:tRNA from 1 species